rnacentral:rRNA from 1 species
AUUGAACGCUGGCGGAAUGCUUUACACAUGCAAGUCGAACGGUAGAGGGGGCAACCCCUCGAGAGUGGCGAACGGGUGAGUAAUAUAUCGGAACGUGCCCAGUCGUGGGGGAUAACGUAGCGAAAGUUACGCUAAUACCGCAUACGAUCUAAGGAUGAAAGCGGGGGAUCGCAAGACCUCGCGCGAUUGGAGCGGCCGAUAUCAGAUUAGGUAGUUGGUGGGGUAAAGGCUCACCAAGCCAACGAUCUGUAGCUGGUCUGAGAGGACGACCAGCCACACUGGAACUGAGACACGGUCCAGACUCCUACGGGAGGCAGCAGUGGGGAAUUUUGGACAAUGGACGCAAGUCUGAUCCAGCCAUUCCGCGUGCAGGAUGAAGGCCCCUCGGGUUGUAAACUGCUUUUGUACGGAACGAAAAGGUUUCUAUUAAUACUAGGAGCUCAUGACGGUACCGUAAGAUAAGCACCGGCUAACUACGUG